rnacentral:rRNA from 1 species
UGGGGAAUCUUGGACAAUGGGGGCAACCCUGAUCCAGCCAUGCCGCGUGAGUGAUGAAGGCCUUAGGGUCGUAAAGCUCUUUCGCCUGUGAAGAUAAUGACGGUAGCAGGUAAAGAAACCCCGGCUAACUCCGUGCCAGCAGCCGCGGUAAUACGGAGGGGGUUAGCGUUGUUCGGAAUUACUGGGCGUAAAGCGCACGUAGGCGGACCAGAAAGUUGGGGGUGAAAUCCCGGGGGCUCAACCCCGGAACUGCCUCCAAAACUAUUGGUCUAGAGUUCGAGAGAGGUGAGUGGAAUUCCAAGUGUAGAGGUGAAAUUCGUAGAUAUUUGGAGGAACACCAGUGGCGAAAGGCGGCUCACUGGCUCGAUACUGACGCUGAGGUGCGAAAAGUGUGGGGAGCAAAACAGGAUUAGAUACCCUGGUAGUCCACACCGUAAAACGAUGAAUGCCAGUCGUCGGGUAGCAUGCUAUUCGGUGACACACCUAACGGAUUAAGCAUUCCGCCUGGGGAGUACGGUCGC